GACGAACGCUGGCGGCGUGCCUAAUACAUGCAAGUAGAACGCUGAAGGAGGAGCUUGCUUCUCUGGAUGAGUUGCGAACGGGUGAGUAACGCGUAGGUAACCUGCCUGGUAGCGGGGGAUAACUAUUGGAAACGAUAGCUAAUACCGCAUAAGAGUAGAUGUCGCAUGACAUUUGCUUAAAAGGUGCAAUUGCAUCACUACCAGAUGGACCUGCGUUGUAUUAGCUAGUUGGUGAGGUAACGGCUCACCAAGGCAACGAUACAUAGCCGACCUGAGAGGGUGAUCGGCCACACUGGGACUGAGACACGGCCCAGACUCCUACGGGAGGCAGCAGUAGGGAAUCUUCGGCAAUGGACGGAAGUCUGACCGAGCAACGCCGCGUGAGUGAAGAAGGUUUUCGGAUCGUAAAGCUCUGUUGUAAGAGAAGAACGAGUGUGAGAGUGGAAAGUUCACACUGUGACGGUACCUUACCAGAAAGGGACGGCUAACUACGUG
rnacentral:rRNA from 1 species